GAUACGUUGAUCGUUCGCCCCUUCGAUUCCGGCAGAAAUAACACACCACGAUAACCACGGAAACAACACACUUGCGAGAACCCGCGUCGCGGCAAGUUCGCGCGUCGAUAGUGUCACGGACGAGGAUUCGACCCUCGAUUCCCUCGAAAAUAAGCUCGUGCUUGUGCCGUUUCGGAGCCGAACGUCUCGUUUCGGCUAUGCACUUCACGGGGAACCAGUGAAGGCUCGAGCUUAAAGCGACCGUCAGCAGAUGGCGGCCAGUGUUGAGCCACCGUUUACUACCACCACCACCACCACCCCGCCCGGGUAACACUGAUCCACGCACAGUUUUCCCUCGUAGCUGAUGAUCGUGCCCUCUCGUCAACAUACCCUGGACAACGGAGACGAUCGGUCACUGGCUGGACAACACCGUUCCCUGUCACGCGCCCCGUUCCUCUUUCGCUCCGACGAUCGAUUUUAUGGGAUCACAUCGCGGUGGAUGGAAAUUACCCGAAAUAUAUAUCGAAAUGUUCUAUCCCCCGAGGCCAGUGGAAGAGGUUGAGUUUCAUUGGUUCAACGCGAUUCAGGGAUGAUACGCGCACGCGCCACCACUGCGCGCUCUGGCUGGUAUAUUCGGUUCGAUCCGUUACCAGCCUGUAUUCCUCCUCGGUCGGGAUAGACCGUUCCAACGAGCAGAUAGGGUUAUAUUAUUAAUCGUUGUAUAUUUCAUUCUCAAUCGUUCAUGGUUAAUUUUCGUCGAAUCUUUUACGUAUUUCGAGUGGGAAAAAUAAUAUUCUCGUAAUUGUAUGGGGAUGAGACGGAAGAUCGAGAGGAAAAGAUGAGAAGGAAAGGAUUGUGGAAGGAAGAAUCGUGUCCCUUUAAGGUACCUUUCGGGUGAACGAAAAUUUGGGAAAUUUAUAGAAUUUGUCGAAGAGAGGGGAGAAGUUUGAUAUUCACGAGAGGACUAAGAUAAACUCCACUUUUCUACCUACUCACUAUAAGCUACGUUAUACGUUCCAGUUAAAGCGAAUUCAAUUUUCCAACGCCUGGCUCCAAGGAAGGGAUUUAAACUGUAUCCAGCCGAUAAAUACACAACCAUACGUGCGAGGUACGUGCUUCGAGGCAUCCUUUUGCGAAUCCUUUGUCCGCCCAAGAUUUUCUCAUUAGCAGCCCGGCUACUAAUUUAUUCGUACACGAGGAGCAAUCACGGAGGAGGAAACGGUUAGUCAUCGUUCAACGAUCCCCUCCCCCUCUCUCUCUCUCUCGUUUGAAUGGGACGAGACGAGUCAGCAUCGAGUAGCAAGAGUAUCGAGAACGUUGCAUACAAUUAAGGAACAAUCACACAGGCAUGCAUUGAAAUAACGAUCGAAGAUCGAGGGAGAGAAUCGGGAUUUGAACCGUUAAUCGUUUUUAGUGUACCGCUUCAACGAGCCGCACGAAGCGAAACACGGAUCGAGGGGGAGGGAAGGAGUAAGGAAUAAGGCGGGAGAAAGAGAGAGAGAGAGAGAGAGAGAAGGGAGGGAGAAGAGGAAUUCUUGGCUGGUUCGAGUCGAACAACGUGUAGCGGAUCUUCCACGCAGGUAUACAAGCCCGUUCCAGGAGAUACCGUAAGACCUUGCUGUUACGUCACUAGAAGCCACGUGAUUAGGAGAAAAAGGAUACCGGCGAGAAGGGAGACGAGAAAACGGAAACUCUGCCCUCGGGCUGAAGAACACGCUUCGUGCCGCUCCGUUCUUCGAAAUUUGUAAAUUUUCAGGUCCAGAGUCAAGAACCCCGAGGCUAGACUUCAACAAGUGGGUCCACAUCCAUUGCCACUUCAUCUUUCUUCGAAUGGGAGGCAACCUCCAUCCAGCGUCCAGGUGCGUCAACGUUCGUGUAUACACGUCGUCGUACAUAGGCGUAGGAGUAGAGCUUAAAUAGAAGCCCUAUUGUUUGCCAAUACUCGUACACGUACAACAUUUUUGAUAUCUGAAACACCGAUCUCGAGUUUCUUACACGAUUGUUGUAUUAUUGUCCGUUAUCUUAUUUCAUACAAUGCUUAAUUUCAUUGAUCGAUGAUCAAUAACUUAGAUAACUUAUGAAAUAUCCUCCUUCCUUUUUUCAUUUCACUUCAGAUUAAUUCCUUCUCUCUGCUCAACAUCUCUUCUUCCUCUCCAUGACCUCCAUCGAUUUCUAACGUGUAAAAU
rnacentral:lncRNA from 11 species